AUUGAACGCUGGCGGCAGGCUUAACACAUGCAAGUCGAGCGGGGAAGAGUAGCUUGCUACUUGACCUAGCGGCGGACGGGUGAGUAAUGCUUAGGAAUCUGCCUAUUAGUGGGGGACAACAUUCCGAAAGGAAUGCUAAUACCGCAUACGCCCUACGGGGGAAAGCAGGGGAUCUUCGGACCUUGCACUAAUAGAUGAGCCUAAGUCAGAUUAGCUAGUUGGUGGGGUAAAGGCCUACCAAGGCGACGAUCUGUAGCGGGUCUGAGAGGAUGAUCCGCCACACUGGGACUGAGACACGGCCCAGACUCCUACGGGAGGCAGCAGUGGGGAGUAUUGGACAAUGGGCGGAAGCCUGAUCCAGCCAUGCCGCGUGUGUGAAGAAGGCCUUUUGGUUGUAAAGCACUUUAAGCGAGGAGGAGGCUACCGAGAUUAAUACUCUUGGAUAGUGGACGUUACUCGCAGAAUAAGCACCGGCUAGCUCUGUGCCAGCAGCCGCAGUAA
rnacentral:rRNA from 1 species